UGGGGAAUAUUGGACAAUGGGCGAAAGCCUGAUCCAGCCAUGCCGCGUGUGUGAAGAAGGCCUUCGGAUUGUAAAGCACUUUAAGUUGGGAGGAAGGGCAGUAAGCGAAUACCUUGCUGUUUUGACGUUACCGACAGAAUAAGCACCGGCUAACUCUGUGCCAGCAGCCGCGGGAAUACAGAGGGUGCAAGCGUUAAUCGGAAUUACUGGGCGUAAAGCGCGCGUAGGUGGUUCGUUAAGUUGAAUGUGAAAGCCCCGGGCUCAACCUGGGAACUGCAUCCAAAACUGGCGGGCUAGAGUAGGGCAGAGGGUGGUGGAAUUUCCUGUGUGGCGGUGAAAUGCGUGGAUAUAGGAAGGAACACCAGUGGCGAAGGCGACCACCUGGGCUCAUACUGACACUGAGGUGCGAAAGCGUGGGGAGCAAGCAGG
rnacentral:rRNA from 1 species